rnacentral:rRNA from 1 species
GAUGAACGCUGGCGGCGUGCCUAAUACAUGCAAGUCGAGCGAACAGACGAGGAGCUUGCUCCUCUGACGUUAGCGGCGGACGGGUGAGUAACACGUGGAUAACCUACCUAUAAGACUGGGAUAACUUCGGGAAACCGGAGCUAAUACCGGAUAAUAUAUUGAACCGCAUGGUUCAAUAGUGAAAGACGGUUUUGCUGUCACUUAUAGAUGGAUCCGCGCCGCAUUAGCUAGUUGGUAAGGUAACGGCUUACCAAGGCAACGAUGCGUAGCCGACCUGAGAGGUGGAUCGGCCACACUGCAACUGAGACACGGUCCAGACUCCUACGGGAGGCAGCAGUAGGGAAUCUUCCGCAAUGGGCGAAAGCCUGACGGAGCAACGCCGCGUGAGUGAUGAAGGUCUUCGGAUCGUAAAACUCUGUUAUUAGGGAAGAACAAAUGUGUAAGUAACUAUGCACGUCUUGACGGUACCUAAUCAGAAAGCCACGGCUAACUACGUG